GAGAGCAUCCCAGGACCACUGAACAUUCAGAGGGCUGGAGGCAGAGAAAAACUUCCCCUACUCAAGAAAAAGAAGCUAUUUUUGUCAAGUUAAAUGAGCCUGAACCUGCAGAGCUGAAUUGGCAGAUGAAUAUUGCUAAUUGGUGCAGUUUCUUCGGUGCAGGAAAGAGUUUCCAAUCAGACCGGCAAUUCAUUGGCCACAUGAAGAUGCUGUGCUAGGGCCUGGGCAAAGCCAGACAAGAAGUGGUUCCUGCUAUCAGGCUGACUAACAUCUAUCAGAAAGAACAGAUCACGACUCAGCCUGCCUGCACCCAGGUGAAAUAAACAGCAUUUUUGCUCACACAUAGCCUGUUUGGUGGUCUCUUCACAUGGAUGCGCAUGAAAUUUGGUGCUGUGACUCGGAUCCGGAGACCUCCCUUGGGAGAUAAAAUCCCCUGUCCUCCUGCUCUUUGCUCCGUGAAAAAGAUCCACCUACGACCUCAAGUCCUCAGACCCACCAGCCCAAGGAACAUCUCACCAAUUUUAAAUCAGCAAAAUGACAUGAAUGACUGAAAAAGCAUGUGGAGCACAAGACUCAAGAACU
rnacentral:lncRNA from 10 species